CACGGGCCCGGGGCCGCAGCAACGAGCAGGAGCCACGGAGUCCCCGCGUGGACGGAGCCCCCGUUCCUGGCGGCGGGGCGGGCGGGCGGGCGGGGGGGGGGCACCGCCAGGGCCAGCCCGGGGGCCACGGCCGCGGGAGCCGGGGAGGGCGGGGCUGCGAGCGCGCCCUCCCGGGCACGGUGUCCGCGGAGCCGCAGCCCCGCGCCCUCCGGUCCGGCCCGAGCAGCGGCGACUCGGAGCCGCAGGAGCCCUCGGGCAGACGCAGCAGCGCGCGUGGACGGACGAGCCCGGGCGCCGCGGGAGCAGCCGCAAGGACAGGGCGGGGGCCGGCGCGGGGCAGCGGCCGGCCCCGCGCACCUGCGGGCGUGUGCGCCCCCGCCCCCCCGGCCCCGGCGCCGCCGCCCCCGCCGCCCCCGCCGCCCCCGCCGCGCGCUGCACGGGCCGCGGCCGCCAGCAGGCGGUGCAGUGAGCGCGCCCGCCCGCCUUCGCCGCCCGCCGGCCCCAGCGCGGAGAGAGGAGGGGACCGGAAGGAGCCGCCGCGGCUGCGGGAAGUGGCAGGAGCGGGAGGCGGGGACCCACCUGGAAGCGCCGCGGCGCCGCGGCCGAGCUUCCUGCGGCGGCCCCCGAGCGACGGCCGUGGCGGCGGCGGCGGCGCCUCUGCGAGCGGCCCGCGGCGCCCGGCCCCGCGCGGAAGGUGAGCAGGCGCUCGGGGCACGUGGCGGCGGCGGCGGCGGCGGCGCGGGGCGGGGCGGGGGGGGCGGACGCGGGGAAGGGAGGGCGCAGGAGGACGGAGCCCCGGGCGCCCUCGGCUCCGGGACCCGGAUCGGCCGCCGAGCGCCGGGAGGGGGUGGGCUGGCGGCGGCGGCGGCGGCGGCGGCGGCGGCAAAGCCCCCACGUGGGGCGGGGGUGCGCGCGCACGUGUGCGCGGGCGAUAGGGGGGCGGGGAGGGCUCUCGGGAGGACGACCGGCGCGCGCUCGGCCAGCGGCGGCCCACGUGACGCGCACGCCGGGGGCCGCGUGCACGUGACCGGCCGGGAGGCAGGUCGAGGCGGCGGCGUGUGGUCGUGUCUGUGUGGCCCAACCGUAGUCAGUGGAGGCGUUAGGGCUCCGCUACCGCUCUCCUCCUCUGCUCGGGGGUGUAAGGAGGACACACAAAAGGCGGAAAAGGCUUUCUGGCAUUUGCCCUGUUCUACACGUUCUCCAGUCCGCUGA
rnacentral:lncRNA from 1 species